rnacentral:rRNA from 1 species
UACGUAGGGUGCGAGCGUUGUCCGGAAUUAUUGGGCGUAAAGGGUGCGUAGGCGGUCGCGCAAGUCGGAUGUGAAAUCUCAGGGCUCAACCCUGAAACUGCAUUCGAUACUGCGUGGCUAGAGUGCUGGAGAGGAGACUGGAAUUUACGGUGUAGCAGUGAAAUGCGUAGAUAUCGUAAGGAAGACCAGUGGCGAAGGCGAGUCUCUGGACAGCAACUGACGCUGAGGCACGAAGGCCAGGGGAGCAAACGGG